AUUGAACGCUGGCGGCAGGCCUAACACAUGCAAGUCGAGCGGAGCGGCGGACGGGUGAGUAAUGCCUAGGAAUCUGCCUGGUAGUGGGGGAUAACGUCCGGAAACGGGCGCUAAUACCGCAUACUAUCAGAUGAGCCUAGGUCGGAUUAGCUUGUGGGUGGGGUAAGGGCCUACCAAGGCGAAGAUCCGUAACUGGGCGGAGAGGAUGGUCAGUCACCCCGGAAUGGAGACACGGUCCAGACUCCUCUGGGAGGCGGCAGUGGGGAAUAGUGGACAAUGGGCGAAGGCCUGAGCCAGCCAUGCCGCGUGUCUGAAGAAAGUCUUCGGAUUGUAAAGGACUUUAAGUUGGGUGGCGUUACCAACAGAAUAAGCACCGGCUAACUCCGUGCCAGCCGCCGCGGUAAUAC
rnacentral:rRNA from 1 species